GAUGAACGCUGGCGGCGUGCCUAAUACAUGCAAGUCGAGCGAACAGACGAGGAGCUUGCUCCUCUGACGUUAGCGGCGGACGGGUGAGUAACACGUGGAUAACCUACCUAUAAGACUGGGAUAACUUCGGGAAACCGGAGCUAAUACCGGAUAAUAUAUUGAACCGCAUGGUUCAAUAGUGAAGGACGGUUUUGCUGUCACUUAUAGAUGGAUCCGCGCCGCAUUAGCUAGUUGGUAAGGUAACGGCUUACCAAGGCGACGAUGCGUAGCCGACCUGAGAGGGUGAUCGGCCACACUGGAACUGAGACACGGUCCAGACUCCUACGGGAGGCAGCAGUAGGGAAUCUUCCGCAAUGGGCGAAAGCCUGACGGAGCAACGCCGCGUGAGUGAUGAAGGUCUUCGGAUCGUAAAACUCUGUUAUUAGGGAAGAACAAAUGUGUAAGUAACUAUGCACGUCUUGACGGUACCUAAUCAGAAAGCCACGGCUAACUACGUG
rnacentral:rRNA from 1 species